GCUUCUUCUCCUGGUCAGAAGCAUCUCUGCGGAGGUGCUCCAGGCAUCCAUCCGCCAUGACUACUUCUCCUGGGAACUGAACACGUGGGACCCUGCUAGCCGGUACCUCAUCUGCAAGAAGAUUUACAGGAAAUAAUGAUCUAUACACACUUCUGAGUACUAAGCUCAAUUUGCCUUCAUGAAUGUGGAAGUGGCAGCACUGAUUUUUCAAGUACUUGCCUAAGGCUGCCUGCACAGCUCUACAGCCUACUACUGGAUAGUGACUCUGACCUCUGCCUGCCCCCAGUCCCAACAAUGAAACACACACCAUUCCAUCAAUGACAUGCUGUUAGCAUGAUGAUUCACCUUUGCUGCAAGACACUCUGCUAGCGUUGCUGGAACAUCUGUGUGGGAGAGGAUGGAUAGUGAACCCACGGGAUGUUUAAGACCCAACUGUGGCUGCAGAAACAUUGAGCCCCUCCUAUCACACCUGAGUUUAUAUUAAGCUGAUGAAUCAGAACAGAGACCAGAAAGACCAGCCAUUCAUGUAAUGUGGGAGUGGGGUGGAGUUUUGUAACCAUCUGACCUGCUGGGAAGAGAGAAGAGUAGAUGACCGAGUUCAGUCAUGUGCCAACGAUUCCACCAAUCAUAGCAACAUGCUGAACUCCAUUGAAAAUUCUAGACCUCAAGGCUUGGUAUAGCUUCCUUGUAGUGUAAAAGAAUAAAUGGUGGUUUUGUGACUUCUGUACUAGUAGAGGAUGAAGUUGGAUACAGGGAGAAUGAACAUGAAGAGGUUUUUGAAUACGUCAUAGAAUUUCUCUUUCCACUGCAACCCACCAGAUUUCAAGUCUUUCUAACAUGAGUAUGACGAUUGGAAGGGAAGGUCCCGAAAUGAGUGCAACCUGCACUGUUCCUUUGUGACCAUGAGCUUUGAGCUCAGACCAAUAGGAGUUUAUGGGUUACAUAGGCUCUGGUGAUAAAUAUAUAUAUAUAUAUAU